CCGACACUGGUGCGCGAGAUGAGUAUUCUAAGGCGCUUGAGAGAACUCAGGAGAAGGAACUCGGCAAAUUGACACCGUAACUUCGGAAGAAGGUGUGCCCUAUUAGUGUGAAGUGAACAACGGAGCAUGAAUGGGUUGCAAAAAAUCGGUGGCUGCGACUGUUUAUUAAAAACACAGCACUCUGCAAACACGAAAGUGGACGUAUAGGGUGUGACGCCUGCCCGGUGCUGGAAGAUUAAAUGAUGGGGUGCAAGCUCUUGAUUGAAGUCCCAGUAAACGGCGGCCGUAACGAUAACGGUCCUAAGGUAGCGAAAUUCCUUGUCGGGUAAGUUCCGACCUGCACGAAUGGCGUAACGAUGGCCACACUGUCUCCUCCUGAGACUCAGCGAAGUUGAAAUGUUUGUGAUGAUGCAAUCUCCCCGCGGAAAGACGGAAAGACCCCAUGAACCUUUACUGUAGCUUUGUAUUGGACUUUGAACAGAUCUGUGUAGGAUAGGUGGGAGGCUUUGAAGCAGGGUCGCUAGAUCUUGUGGAGCCAACGUUGAAAUACCACCCUGGUGUGUUUGAGGUUCUAACCUAGGUCCAUUAUCUGGAUCGGGGACAGUGCAUGGUAGGCAGUUGGACUGGGGCGGUCUCCUCCCAAAGCGUAGCGGAGGAGUUCGAAGGUACGCUAGUUACGGUCGGACAUCGUGACGAUAGUGCAAUGGCAUAAGCGUGCUUAACUGCGAGACUGACAAGUCGAGCAGAUGCGAAAGCAGGACAUAGUGAUCCGGUGGUUCUGUAUGGAAGGGCCAUCGCUCAACGGAUAAAAGGUACUCUGGGGAUAACAGGCUGAUACCGCCCAAGAGUUCAUAUCGACGGCGGUGUUUGGCACCUCGAUGUCGGCUCAUCUCAUCCUGGGGCUGUAGCCGGUCCCAAGGGUAUGGCUGUUCGCCAUUUAAAGAGGUACGUGAGCUGGGUUUAAAACGUCGUGAGACAGUUUGGUCCCUAUCUUCCGUGGGCGCUGCAGAUUUGAGGAAGCCUGCUCCUAGUACGAGAGGACCGGAGUGGACACACCACUGGUGUAUCGGUUGUCACGCCAGUGGCAUUGCCGAGUAGCUAAGUGUGGAAGAGAUAACCGCUGAAAGCAUCUAAGCGGGAAACUCGUUUCAAGAUGAGAUCUGCCGGGGCCUUGAGCCCCCUGAAGAGUCGUUCAAGACCAGGACGUUGAUAGGUCAGGUGUGGAAGCGCAGUAAUGCGUUAAGCUAACUGAUACUAAUUGCUCGUGCGGCUUGACC
rnacentral:rRNA from 1 species